rnacentral:rRNA from 1 species
GACGAGGGAUCCUAGCGUUGUUCGGAAUCACUGGGCGUAAAGCGUUUGUAGGCGGCUCUAUAAGUCGGGUGUGAAAUCCCACGGCUCAACCGUGGAAGUGCAUUCGAAACUGCAGAGCUUGAAUAUGGUAGAGGAGAGUAGAAUUCCUGGUGUAGUGGUGAAAUACGUAGAUAUCAGGAGGAAUACCGGUGGCGAAGGCGGCUCUCUGGAACCAAUAUUGACGCUGAGAAACGAAAGUGCGGGGAUCAAACAGG